ensembl:lncRNA
GCCCAGCUGGAUUUGAGAGAUGGCAGGGCAGCCAUGGAUCACUGCCCUUGCCAGGCGUCCAUGCUGAGGCUGGGGUGAGCCUCCACUCUGAGUGCUCGGAGCCUCUGGCGUGCCUGCACGUGGAGCUCUGUGGGGGAAGCUGUGUGGGAGCACGCUCUCUUUGUACUCGCAUGUCCCCAUGGAGCAAAGCCAGCUGGAGACAACCGAGUCUGAGCAAAGCCCCACGGCCUGUGGGAGGCCUGGUGCCCCAGGCUGGUUCGGGGGAGCAGGAUCUCUGCGCCUCCCCCAGCCACUGCUUCUUGCAAACUGAGAGGCAGGGCAGCAAACAGCCCAGGAAGCUGGCUGCAGUGAAGAUGAAUGAACCGAAGCUCCUCACGACAACAUGGAUGGAUCUUAAGCACAUGGUGUUGAGUGAAAGAAUACAAAUGAUGGACUCCAUUCAUACAUGGUCCCAAACCAGGGGCAUGUGUUCAAUCCCCAGUUGGGGAACUGAGAUUUUAUGUGCUGCGCAGUGCCGCCAAACAAAAACCAAAACCACUAAGAAAACAAAACCAGGACGUUUGACGACUGAACACAGCACUCACUGCCCUCUCCUCUCCAUCGCACUUUGUCCUCAGGGCCCUGAAACAUCUCUCCCUCUUC